CCUACGGGUGGCAGCAGUGAGGAAUAUUGGUCAAUGGCCGGAAGGCUGAACCAGCCAAGCCGCGUGAAGGACGAAGGUGCCAAGCAUCGUAAACCUCUUUUGUCAAGGGACAAAAUCAGGCUCGAGAGCCUGACUGAGGGUACUUGAAGAAAAAGCAUCGGCUAACUCCGUGCCAGCAGCCGCGGUAAUACGGAGGGGGCAAGCGUUAUCCGGAUUUACUGGGUGUAAAGGGAGCGUAGACGGUUGUGCAAGUCUGAUGUGAAAGCCCGUGGCUCAACCGCAGCACUGCUUUGGAAACUGUAAGGCUGGAGUACUGGAGAGGCAUGCGGAAUGCCUAGUGUAGCGGUGAAAUGCGUAGAUAUUGGGAGGAACACCAGUGGCGAAGGCGGCCUGCUGGACAGAAACUGACGUUGAGGCUCGAAAGCGUGGGGAGCGAACAGGAUUAGAUACCCCAGUAGUC
rnacentral:rRNA from 1 species